rnacentral:piRNA from 1 species
UUUUGAUGUUUUUCAAGUUUU